AGGUGGGAGCGGAGGCUGUUCCGCUGACUAAACUUUCUAGGUCCAUAGUCGACUUCACUAUGGAUGAUGCACCUGAGAUUGACGACACAAGUUGUCUAGGUGCAACUAUAUCCAUGCUUCAGGAGGUCAUCCGCUCGGUAGAGGGCCCGUCAGCUCCCGAGAGUUCUUCGGGUGUGCCACCUUCAACGGUUGAAGUUGCGUCAACUGUGAGUACGAAUGGUGCUGAUGCCUUGGCACUAGU
rnacentral:lncRNA from 1 species